rnacentral:lncRNA from 1 species
GUGGCAGCAAACUCACUUCCCUGCCUUUGCUGGCAUGAUCGUAGGAGAAAAUGUGAUAGUGUGGACACAGCACUGAAGCAGGAGAACUCAAGAGGUGUGAAAUUUGUCUUCAUCGCAGACCUGCUGCACUGCCUUUGGUGACUCGUAACACCUUUCCGUGGUUCUGUUUCCCUCCUAACUUCCUGCCAGUCUAACCUCCUAGACCAGAAGCUCUCUGGGGCAAAGACCUGCUUUUACUGUGUGAUCUGCAGUGUCUAAUACAAUAGGUCCCAACCUCAGGUAAGACCUUUAGGUACUCCCAUUAUAUGAAUGAGAACAAGAUUGUUUGUGUCAGUAAUUAACAUUCUUGUGGGAUUGUUGGAAAUGCUUUGGAAUAAACGCUGCCUGGAAUCCUUGUCUGGCUUAUGUGUUUUUUAAGCUGCAGAGAAGGCUCAUCCUGUUCACGUGAGUGGGCAUGGAYCAUCUGUCCCUUCUCUUAUUGUGUGCACAAGAAGUCUUUCUGUCCAAAAAGAGUUGCAAUACCUCAGUGAGAAGCUGGACACUGGAAAAGUGUCUGGUUGCUAGUGGGGAGGAAGAAUGGAGACUCAGUUAUCAGUGUGUCUCCAGUAAUGAUUUCAGCUGAGAACAAAAACUAUAUGAUAAACAYCAAAACAGAGAGAGAAAAAUACCGAACUAAGGAUCAGUGAUAAUGUUGUGAAUGUCUUUGGCACAGCGACAUCCCAUGACAGGCUUCCAGAGAUGAAAUCUCACUCUGGUUACAUGGAUAGCAAAACUCCCAUUGACUGCAAUAUCAUCAGGCUUUCCCCUUGGAGUUACCUGGAUUUCUCUGCUUCUGAAUGCCCAGUCUGUUUUCAGUCUUCUCCCUACCCACUGGCUUCCAGACGCUCCCUGCUGAUGAGGUUCGCUCUGUCCCUCCCCAGCAGACCCCGUUUCCCCUUCCAACUCCUGGUUCCCUCUCACCGCCCCGGAGAACCUGGCUCCCUCCAGAUCCUCCGUGCCUGCCAACUUGCUCUUCCCCCAUCCAGUUCUUGCCCCCGCUGCCGGUUCCUCCGCGAGCGUCCUGCUCGGAGCUGCCCGGGCAGCAGCGUGGACGGGACGGACGGGUUCCCCGCGCCCCGCCAUACCUCCCGCCUCGGCGCCGUCCAGGGCUCUGCAGGCCCGGCGGCGGCUCCCACCGCCCCGGGCUGCGACACGCUCCCUGCGGAGAAACCUCCGCGGGAUUACAGCCACCGCUGAGCGCCAGCGGGAUCUCCAGUCGGUUUUUACGUGGCAGUUUUUGCGGGAGCGGUAGCAGUAACGUCUCGGACAAAAAGGCCAUUCUCGUUUUCAGACUUGAAGAUCCUGUUUCAAAGCGAAACAUUUUCCUCUGACCUGACAGAUGAAAUGAUAGAAGAAGUUUUUUAAAUUUAACCGGAGGUAUGAACCAGACACUUAAAUUUCAGCACAACAGUUAGUCUGGCAAUACUAAAAGUGGCUGAAGACAGGAUUUAAUGAUGGGAAUUGCUAACCAACUUUAACAUUAAUUAGCAAUAGCAAUUCUGCUUUUAAUCAGUGCUUCCAUUUUCAGUAAAAAUUAUUACAGUUCACUGCUGGUAAUCCUCCUGGCAUAUCAGAUAUCCGUGUAACUAGGCAAGCAAUCGUAUGGAGAAAACCAAACAUCCUUGCCUUCCRAGCAGGUAAUUAUUCAUCAUUGUGAAAGUGCUCCAGGAUAUUUUUAGUGGAGGACAAAACUCCAGUUUCCURACAGAAACACUGAACAAAUUUAUAGAAGAAUGAAACAAGAAAAAUGCCGCAGACAACUGGGUUAGCUGAUACUUUGUAGUAAUGCUAACACUGAAGUAGCAUCCUGCACAUUGCUGCAUGCAUAUGUGCAGAUAAAUGCACA